UACAGUUUUCUUCCAUUUACCCUUAUCGUUUAUUUGCAACUGUCAAGAAGCUUUCACAUAUCUCGUACUUAACAUUUACGCUUAAAAACUAUCACUUAAACUCGAUCUUGGAACGUACCUUUCGCGUUCCUUAGUUUCUUAUCUAUGCUUUUACUAUUUGUACCCUCGAAGAGGCCAAGUCUCAACUACGCGUACAAAUUCACACGGAAAUAUCAAGUACGGAACUCUGAGAGUAAAGUGUAAAAAAUGUAAGACUGGUGAUACGAAACUAUAAGUAUACGUGUACAAGUAUAGUAUAAAACUAUUCGCUAAUCUUUGGCCCCUCUUCUCUGUUCUCCCUCUCUUUUUCUCUCUUGUUCCGCUUUCUCUUUAAUAGCCAUCGCUUCUUCCUUCUCAAUUCCCCUCGGGAUCUCGAGAUCCCCGGACCUCGUGCCUUCAGGACAACCUCCGCUGCGUCUACCUUCGUUAUGAAUAUAAUCUUGAUUCAGCUUAAAGCAUUAUACACCACUACUUCGUGUUGUAAAUUACUUACC
rnacentral:misc_RNA from 1 species